GACGAACGCUGGCGGCGUGCUUAACACAUGCAAGUCGAACGAAGUGGCGAACGGGUGAGUAACGCGUAAUCAACCUGCCCUUCAGAGGGGGACAACAGUUGGAAACGACUGCUAAUACCGCAUACUGAAGGAGGGGAUUGCGUCUGAGCAGCUUGUUGGUGGGGUGAUGGCCUACCAAGGCGGUGACGGGUAGCCGGGCUGAGAGGGGGGUCGGCCAGAUUGGGACUGAGAUACGGCCCAGACUCCUACGGGAGGCAGCAGUGGGGGAUAUUGCACAAUGGGCGCGAGCCUGAUGCAGCGACGCCGCGUGAGGGAUGAAGGCUUUCGGGUUGUAAACCUCUUUCGGUACAGAACGGGUAUGUGCAGAAGAAGCGCCGGCUAACUACGUGCCAGCAGCCGCGGUAAUAC
rnacentral:rRNA from 1 species